UCGAGAAUAUUCCACAAUGGGCGAAAGCCUGAUGGAGCGACACCGCGUGGAGGAAGAAGGCCUUCGGGUUGUAAACUCCUUUUCUGAGGGACGAAAUCCGCUUUUUGCGGACUGACUGUACCUUGGGAAUAAGAGGUUGCUAACUCUGUGCCAGCAGCAGCGGUAAUACAGAGACCUCGAGCGUUAUCCGGAUUUAUUGGGCGUAAAGGGCGCGUAGGGGGUUUUGUGCGUCUCGUGUUAAAUUUCACUGCUUAACGGUGAACCUGCGCGGGAUACGGCAAAACUAGAGGACAUUAGGGGUGAGCGGAACGCACGGUGUAGGGGUGAAAUCCGUUGAUAUCGUGCGGAACACCAGAGGCGAAGGCGGCUCACUAGAGUGUUCCUGACCUUGAGGCGCGAAAGCGUGGGGAGCAAAAAGG
rnacentral:rRNA from 1 species